UGUAUAAAGAAAGCUCAAAAACAUUUUACACA
rnacentral:piRNA from 1 species